UCCCACUGUUCUGAGUACCUGGAGAAUCUGUGGCCUCCCUUCCCGGAGGGAAUUGACAUACAAGCCAGAGCUGCAGAAGAGCUGGUCUCUCACCAACAGAAAUGGGUCCAAUAAAAGACAGAAUCUCCCUCACCUUGUCUCUCACACCAACUUGUCCCUGGCCCACAGCGAUACAUAAACUUAAUUCAAAAAGGUUAACCUGUAUUCAGUAGGGUUUGUCCAGGAAAGUGUCACACCUGUGACAAAUUAUGAGGAACCUGGAAGAAAGGAAACAGUCCAGGGAGAAAGAAAUAUCUGGGAAGCCUGCAGAGAGGUCAGGGCAAGGAAGGCUCUCCUCUCUUCGCAACUGAGGACGAGCUGGGAGAAGGGGACCAACGUACUUCCUCCCAACAGAGGAGAGCUGCAGACUCCUGUUUUAAGGAGAGAGGACUCUCUGGGAAUGUCUAGGAGAAGCUACCAGUUUGGUGUUAGGAUGGUGAUCUUGGGACUAUGUUGGCUGCUCACAUGCCUCAUCCUUACAAAUGCACACACCACUAAAUCCCAGGCAAUCCAGCUGACUGGGAUGGUGGGAGGGUCGGUAGUUUUCCCUUUCAAAGUUCCCCCGUGGGUGCCCAUGGAGACCAUCGUCUGGACCAUCAUCUGGAAUUCAGUCACAACCCUCACCACAUUUACCCCCAGGAAAGGGAAACUAGCUGUAGUUAAAGUGCUGGAUAAACGCUACAUAGGGAGGUUGAGGGUCUUGGACCAUACCUAUUCUCUGGUGAUUAGCAACCUGAGCAUGCUGGACAGGGGCAUAUACAGAGCGUAAAUAAACACUGAGUUCACCACCACCGUGACAGAAUACCUGCUGCGUGUAUACAAGAAAAUCCCCAUCCCAGAUAUUGCCAUUGCCAUCCUGAAUGGAACCUUGCAACCUCCUGCUAAACUGCUCUGUCGCCGAGGAAGCUAAAAGUGCCACCUUCAUCUGGAUGUACACCCGCAGGAGGAUGGGCCAGACCAAGGAAAACCCACCCUGCACAUCUCGAGCCAUCCAAGAGCUAAAGACAUGGUCCACACCUGCCUGGCAAGGAACCCCGUUAGCCAGGGCUCAAAAACGAUCUCCAUAGAAGACUACUGCGAAAGUGGCUCACCAGCGCCCAUUUUCCAAGCGCUGAAGGCAAUGUGCUUCUUACUGUUCUUUGGAUUCUUCUUCAGCAUGACCAAUAUUGUAAAAUAAGAACCACACGCUGCCUUUGAAUGCAGACCGGAGUGACGGGAACACAUGCAAAGGAAAGAUUUGUCCCUCCGGGGGAUACAGAAGAUCUCACGCCAACUGCAUCCAAAUGCCACCAACCUUUGCUGUAAGUUACCUUCUAACGCAAAGAGCUGCCGCUGCAGAACUUAUUACUGUGGCUUUUAAAAAAGCUACUAUAGAUUCAAAGCAGCAAGAGAAGAUGCUGAGCAUUUCACAUCUGCAGGCAGAAGGUGAUAAUCUCCUAAUAUCUCCUCCUUAUGGACAUGAAGCAUCACACCUGAGAUCCAGCCAAUAGUGUGAUUGUGUGGACUCCUGUUUACCAAUAAAAUGCACUUCUCAGUCACGCCUGAAGUUACUGAUCUGCUCAUAAAGAUGUGGGGCUUUUUUUUCAGUUAUGCCAAGGCUCUGGGUGUCGCUGUAAUUUAUGCUUGGAGUGGCGUAAAGGGGCCUUAGUGUAAAUGAGAAUCUAUCCCCCCAAGAUCUUCAGCUAAUAAAGACCUCUCUGCAAAUCAAUGGGCCUGAUCCUCCCACAGCUUGCACCCCAUGGGCUUGAUUCACAAUUGUAUUAUUGAUGCCAAUGGUUGGUGACCGCUGUGGUGUGGUGCAAUCUGGUGGGCAGGAAACCCCUCCCCCUUUAACUGCCAGCUUCCUCUCUCGCUCAUUUCUGCAUUUGAUUUCUCAAUGCAUUUAUCUGGGCAGGAGGGGGAAGAAAGCCAAUUAGAUGGGGGCAGUGGUGUUGCCAAUCCCCCACAUUCAGAAAUCAUGAGCCAGGCCAUCCAGAACUCCUGCUUUGCGAAUCACAAGGGAAGAUUGUCAAAUCAUCGCAGUUGAAUUGCGGACAAGAUGUGGAAAAGGAAUAAUGGCCCUUUAUUCAUUGCAGUCAUUUGGAAAAGCUGGAGAAGACCUAUAUGUUUAAGAAAUAUUUGCUGGAACAAUAUAAACACUCAAGUAUUAUCUUAGGCCUGCUCAUUUUUUUGAUAACCAGACAUUUUGCUGCAACUAGAUUAAAGCCAUUAAUGGGAGGGAGGACAGUGGGAGUCUGGGUGGCUGGUGGCCGGGGCUCCCGCUCUCAGCUGCCCGGCUGACAAAAUUGCAGCAGAAGCUGAAUAUUGCGGGACCCACAAUUUCCACAAUAUUGCAGAUUCAACAUGAACAGGCAGUACCCGGGAGCUUCCUCCCAACAGGUGACCAGGGAAAGGGCAGAAUCUUCGGAGUGCCCGGGGGUUAGGGCAUUAGCCUGGGGUUUCAUAAGGCCAGAAGGAAGCAUUAGCUCAUCUAGCCAGGUUUCGUGUAUAUCACGGGCCAUUACCUGACACCCAAUCACACCUAUACACAGACCAGUGAUGCUGGACUAAAGCAUUUCAGUCAUCAAAAGGUGAACCCAUUGGUUGCCAAAGGUAGCAAACAGUGCCCCUGUGCCAGAGAUGGUGAUUUCCUGCAAUAUCUUUGGGGGAUCUUACUGCUUUAAAUUAAUGUAUCAGUGUGGGCCAGGGAUUGUCUGUAAUCCCAUAGCAGGGGAGAGGGACCAGCCCUCCAGGCUCAAAGAACAGUGUGUAUGUGUGGAGGGUGUGUGUGUGAGGGGGUGAUGAGGCAAAUUCACUCAGGUUGUAACAUCUCCAGGGAGGUCCCACCAUUGGGAGCGGCUGCAUAUUCUGGUUCAAAUUGGUUUCUCCAGAGACCAAUGGGCAAAGGAAAGACUUUUGGAUAAAGAGCCUGAGUUCAAAGUGACUCAGGGCCUGCUUUCAGAUCCAGCAUACCGAGAGGAUUGUCUGUCCAAGGGGGUCCCCAAUCCUUCCUGGGAAGGGUAGGA